AAAAAAAGGAAAUUGCCAAAUAGUCCUAAUAAAUUAUAAAACUUCCUAACAACCAUAUCAAAAUAUAAAUUACUUAUUGAAUUUACUAUUACUAAAAGAAUUAUAAUUGUGAAGGGCCCUUCUUUCCAAGUGAGUUUGGGUCAUGGUUAGGACUCAGACUGUGCCUGUCAGGAGGAAUAUGGUGCAUGAAUUUACUUGCAAGUUGUAACAGCAGAUGAGGAAGCUAUAUAAUCAUCAUGUAGAAAUUUGGAUGGUAUAGAUUGUUCGAAGUAAGCAUUUAUAUUGUAGCAUAGGCCUUAACUUGUAUGUAUUAUGUGCUCUCAUAAGUUGCUUAGGGUUCCAAAUGAACCAAUUGCCUAGGGAACUGCUCAAGUGUAGCUCAACGAGGUUGACUCAAAUUUAUUAUUAGGAAAAGCAAGCCGAGCUUAAGCUUGAGCUUGAGUUCAUCAGGAAAAGCUUAUUGAGCUAAGCAACCUUGUGCCAAGCGUAUGUGCUAGUACCAGACCUCCACCAUGGUCUCUUAUACACAAAUCAGUGAAGUGAGUUUUAUAUCCUCCUUGACACUCAUGAUUCACAAGUUUCUGGAGAUGCCACAACCACCAUCACCAAGAGCUACAGAGAGGAGUGUGGGAUCUCUUUUUUAAAGGAUACUCGUUUUUCCUCAUGUUUGUUAAUGGGAACAUGACCAUGGUGGGCCUCAUCUUAUCCAUCACCUCUCAUUCUUGCUUGUCUUCUAUGGCAUCAUCAUAUUCAGAAGUGAUAAUAGUGAAUAUGCUGCAGAAAUUGCUAUACAAUAAUAAAAGUAGUCAUGAGCUUUUAAGAUUCAGGCUUUGAACCCAAUGACCAGCAUGGCUGUUUGGCCUUGUUGUGGUCAGUUUACAUUGAAAGCUAGUCAACCCAAGCUUGAACGCUAAGGAAUUUGUCUAAGAUUAUUUAACAUGCUCCUACUGUAUUGUAAAUUUUCACUAUUAUAUACAUAUAUUUUUUGAGCAGAACUUUUAUAUUAUUGCAACUAGCUCUACUUUUAUAAUACGUACUUUGUUUAGUAGAAAUCUUCCAUAUAAAGGUCAUGGAUCCGCUGUUUGCUCAUCAUCUGAUGUUA
rnacentral:misc_RNA from 1 species